AGAGUGCUGUCUAAGGGUGAAAAGCAAGCAUUUUUAAGCUGAGAAAAAAAGGAAAAUCAAUCAGAGGCACUGCACAAACAUCGGGCAUAGCCAAUACAACAAUUUGCAAUGUCCUAAAAAAAAGAAAGAAACCAAUGGUGUACUAACAGAGACUUGGAACAGAGAGCGGGAAAGAGCGAGCGAGAGAGAGAGAGAGAGAUUAUACUUACUAAUACGGUAAGUGGGCUGGAGUGUAUCUGCAUGAUCGUGACUGCGGUGCACGUGGGCGCCUGGCUGUAGGGUGAUGGUGUUCUCUGAGUCACGAUGAAAAAGGUGGGAUGCUGUUACACUAAACUACUUAGAGGAAACUGGGCAGAUACAGUGACUGUGUGUUUUACAGGAAGAGCGAAUAGGGGCAUCUGUUCCUGAUCAUGUACUGUG
ensembl:lncRNA